GCUUUGGUGGCCUACUUGUUAGAGCGUCCGUCUCGUGUGCGGGAGGCCGUGUGUUCGAUCCCCGGCUGAGUCA